rnacentral:sRNA from 1 species
UAUAAUGAACACGGCCGCACCACAAGUAAAGUCUGAGGAAGGACAGAAAACGCUCUGGAGGCUGGUUCAGUCACCCGUUAUCAGUAAAAAUGGUUGACCCCUAACAAUAUGUACAAAAAUACAAAAUGUAAAUAAGAAAUUCAAACUUUCCUUUUAAAGUAUGUUUAAGAAAAAUAGCAGGGCCUGGGAAGCUCUGGUUCUCUUCUCCUCCCAUGUUGCUAAUUCAUGUCGUGGUUUGGGUGGGGCGGUGGAGAGCAUAUGUUAUCUGUGGGUGGCUCUGCCCUCUGUGGGCGGGCGUGGCCUGCUUCUCUACUCGAAGAAGAUCACAUUAAAAUUCUGAGACUGGAAGUGGAGGGUGAAUAGGUCACGGUGUGUAAAGUCCUUGGUGGUGAUCUCGGAGCUGGUAUCCACUGCGGAGUCUGACAUGGUGGGGCACGCCGAUGGUCCGGUGCUGCGAAUAAGGAAUUAGUCGAGCUCGAGGACUCUGGUGAGAAAGCUACCGGAGUCCAGGUUGGAAAAGGCAGUAGGCGGCGAAGGUGGCUGCAGUGAGCGCAGAGCAAAGAUGGCUUUUCAGUGGGGACUGGCUUUUGAGUAGCCAGCGGGGGCAUAAUGGGCAUCCUUAUGUGCUCAGAGACAAGUCUCUGAAGAGAAAGCUUAUUGCCCAGAGUGAUGGGACCAGAAGGUUGUUGCAGGAGCAUGAACCUGCAAAAGAAGCCCAGAAUAUUCUCUGGCUUCCAGUAUCAGGGGCAAGGCUUGUCUGUGGCCACACCACCCUGGGCUACCCAGUCUUGUUUGAUUUCAUUCCUAAGCAAGAUCAGACCUGGUUAGCAUUUCACUGGGAGACAGAAGCUUUCGCUUCCAUGCACACUCCUAACAUCGGCCAUGCAGCCUCCUGAGUCUGCAUUGUCAACCUCCAGAACUAGGAAACAAAUAAACCUAGAUUUGGGGGGAGUUUUUAGGGGGCAGUGUUUUGCUUUGCUUUGGUAUGGUAUGGUUUGGUUUCAUUUGGUGGGUGCGUGGGUGGUUGGUUGGUUGGUCAUCGGUAGCCAUGAACAGCUGACAAGGAGCAAAACGAUGCAGUCAUCAGUAGUGGUUACAAUGUGGAUCAGGAAACUGGGGUGCGGAGCAAGGAAGCAAAUUCCCCACAUGAGGCUUCUUCCUGCCUGCGUGUCUGACUUGUUCCUAUGCUGGUCCUUAUCUGGUUCACCCCGCCCCACCCACCCGCCAUGACUGUUUCCAGUUCCCUUGUGUUCCAUGCCCUCUCCAGCCUCAGCAUCUCCGGUAAGACCCAGAAUUUCAUGUAACCUAAUUUCACUUCCCGGCUUGGGAUGUGGCUCAUCCCUCCUUCUCAGCCCUGGAAUGCCGCCUAUCUAGUCACAACUCCCCUUCGCAGGAUUACUGAACGAAACAGAAGAACGACACUUCUUCUGUCUAGCACCAGAACCAAGGAAAUGAUCGUCAAAGUAUUUCCAUGCUGUAAUCCCCAGGACAAAGUCUAACUUCAGUUCAAUUAAAACUGACUACUAUAUCUAGGGCCAUGGGUAAGGUAUGUCUGCGAAAGAUAAAAUUAUCACCUUCAAAGUUCUAGCAGGAAAGAAGAUGAGUUUUAAAAUAGCCUAUAGUUCAGGACAGAAGAAAAAAAAUAAGUGCCGUAUGAAACCCACAAAAGGCAAAAUUAGUUUCAGAUGAUGAAGAGAUCCUACCAAGAUGAUAAUUAGCAAGCGCCUUGCAGGAGAAUGGCUGCUUGAAAUUGACUUGGAAAGAAUUGAUAGAAUUUCAAUAAUUGGAAAAGGAGAAUAAGAGAAAGGCGCUCCAAGUGGAGGGACUAGCCUCUAGAAAAGGGGCAGAGAAUGGAAACCUGGAGUACGUUUAAGGACAAAAUGACAGUUGACUGUUUGACAGGAAUGUCGAGGAAGUUUUAGAAACGCAACUCUGGAGCUGGGCAUGACAGCACACGCUUGGAUGCAAGCUAUGGAUGGACCUCCUGUGGUUGCCCUAAUUCUAGCAUUCUCAGGCCAACGGAGGCUGAGGCCACGGCCCAUGGUCACUGUGUCAGGCGAGGCUCUGACUAAGAAAGCAAGGAAAACAAGCGGAUGUGCUUGGGCUUCAGUUUCUUUUAACUACACCAUUCCCUGUUCUUAGCCCAGGAUGCCGUCAUCCAGGACUCUGAAAACUCUUCUUUGUCACGAGCUUAGGCAGAAAGUCUCUCCAGCCGUGGGUCAGAAUAAGGAAGACCAGGUUCAAGGAGGCCAAGGCAUGAACCUAGAGUCGCCCAGCUGGUACGUACCAAAGCCAAAUCUCUCCUAAUUAAAAUUCUAUCUAACAAGCCUGCCUCUCAUAAAGAUCAAACCCUCUGAUAGUCUCACUAGCAGGUGUCUUCCAGACUUGCUGAUUGUUCACAAUGGAGCUAAUGGAUGUGCUGCCCAGACAAGUUCCAGGUUCCCCUUAAACAGGUUUUUCACAAGCUUCAAACCAAUUGAGGAGUGUGAAGAAACCAGCGAGAGACACUCCACCCAGCAGCCACUCGAACCAACAGUGGUUUCUGCAGACAGCAGUCUAAUCUCUUGGUCUGGCAAGGCUGGGCAAGAGAUCAUUUUCCAGGCUCACCUGCAAUGCUGAAAUUGGAACAUCUUUUCCCACGCAUGUCCUCAGUACUAGAAAUAGUCCCAGUUCCUGACAUAAAGCAAUCGAAGCCCUAGGGAUUCCCGCAUGAUGGUCAUGUGUGCUUUCGUUCUGCCUGGGCCCUGUGUGUUCACACCCCAGUUUAGGGUGCGAUAUGAACUCAAGCUUCGGGAAAUGCUGGGAUAGCUAGGCGGGGGAUGGGAGGCUUCAGGGGGGGAGUUUGUGGCCAGAGGGAUGGGAUUUUCCAUCCCCACUUCAGGCUCAGGGGAUGGAAUGAAGGCCAGAGACUGGGUUCAGAUCAAUCUUCUCUAUGAAGUACUACCUCCCUAAGAUCCCAAAUGAUAACAUCAGAGAGCUUCAAUCACACAGUUGACAAUCACAUGACGGUCUCAGCCAAGAGAGUCUCAGUCUCAACUCACUGGGAACAGCAGCUAUGGAGCAAGGGCCCUUCUAGGUCACACAUAUACAUUUUCUUCUGACUGUUCAUUUUUAUUCUUUACAAUAACCAAAAAUAUCAAUAAAUAAAACAUUUUCCAAAGUCUUA